UUCCACUUCAUCUACACCACCACAUCGGAAACUUUUAACCCCUUAUUUGGCAGAAAGGCUGAGAGACUGAGAGAAGAGGGAAGGUGUUUUUCUGAGGAGUGAAUAUGUGUCUUUGACCAGCUACAUAAUACAGGGCAUUCUCAGGAAAGGAAAGCAGCUGUGGAAGGUCUUGGUAGUGAGGAGACUGAUGUCAUCCAGAGAAAAACGCACAGUGUGUUGAAGCAUGAACUGGUGCAGAAGCAAGAAAAAUAAUUAGAGUCAUUUUGGAUUGGUCCCUGAAGUCAGUUUUUAAAAGCACAUUUUGGUGGCUGGAGAGUGAACCAGUGGCAGAGAGAAAUGGUGGUCAAGUUCUAACCUUAGUUUGUGAAGGAAGAGCUGGAGCCAAGAAAAUAAAAUGAGAAUAUUUACAGAGUGAACAAUGAACUGGAGUACAAACACUGAGGCCUUUGGAGCCAAGGUAGGA